rnacentral:lncRNA from 1 species
CACCUAAUUAUAAAUCAUUUAAUAUCAAUUAAAAUAUCAACUCUCGAACGAUUUUCUUUCACUCUCAAUCUCUCUCAAACGAUUCUCAAACGAUUAAAAAAAAAAUGAAACGUCUAAGUCCAUUUUUCCAGGAGAUAAAAUAAAUGGGGGCCAGCUUCACGCCAAAAAAUAAAAUCAUUUUUGCCAAAAAAAUAAUUACUCUCAAACAAUUUUUCUUUUCUCUCAUACUCUCUCUAACGACUCUCAAACGAUUUGCAUUAACGAAAGUUUAAAAUAAUUAAAUGGGGGGGCCAAGUUAACGGAGGUUAAACGUUGUCAUUUGUCAUAUACAAAAUGUCUGCCGUGACACUAUAGAUACCAUCGAUAAUAAUAAUCAUCAAUUUAAAAACAAAUAAAGCGGAAAAAAUGGUUUGUGAGAAGUGUGAACAAAAAUUGGGCAAAGUGAUAACACCUGAUCCUUGGAAAUGUGGAGCUCGAAAUACAGUAGAAAGUGGAGGACGUAAAGAUAUGCAGACAAAAGGUUCAUCAGGUUGGCUCGCAUUAUUGUCAAGCUUGUGCCUACAAAAAAGCCAUUUGUGCCAUGUGCGGCAAAAAACUCAUGAGUACAAAAAAUUACAAGCAGUCAGCGACAUGAAUAUCCAAGGAAUCAUUGAAUUCUUUGAAUAAAUUUAUUGAGUAUAUUUGUAACACCGAAGUACAAGCAAAAUCUGUCA